GAUGAAGAACGCAGCGAAAUGCGAUAAGUAAUGUGAAUUGCAGAAUUCAGUGAAUCAUCGAAUCUUUGAACGCACAUUGCGCCCGUCAGUAUUCUGGCGGGCAUGCCUGUUCGAGCGUCAUUACGCCCCUCAAGUCCCCUGUGGACUUGGUGUUGGGGAUCGGCGAGGCUGGUUUUCCAGCACAGCCGUCCCUUAAAUUAAUUGGCGGUCUCGCCGUGGCCCUCCUCUGCGCAGUAGUAAAACACUCGCAACAGGAGCCCGGCGCGGUCCACUGCCGUAAAACCCCCCAACUUUUUAUAGUUGACCUCGAAUCAGGUAUGACUACCCGCUGAACUUAAGCAUAUCAAUAAGCGGAGGA
rnacentral:misc_RNA from 1 species